AAGAUGAUGAGGUUCUCCCGGCAUUUGGACCAGAGCAGGGGGUGGGCCUACCCCUUUGAGAAGUGUAUUGUAUUCUUACCUUUUAUCAUUAAAACAGAUUAUUGUUUAACCCCUAUCCUGGUUGUUUUGAGUUUUCCUUCUUUUAAAACAAACUCAUAUAGGAUCGGCGCGGAGCAGAGAUAUCUGCUCCUACAAAAUGGUGGACCCGACGUGAUGACGUGAUGACGUGGUGACGUGAGGACGUGCCGACGUGGUGACGUCAUGAGUAGGGUUUUUUAGAGGAAAACACUAGCAGCCAGCGGACGGAGGGAGAUGCCUGGAAUAAUUUAUGACAACUAAAACCAGGAUCCUACAACUGAAAGUGUGGAUCAUUGAGACAGCGUGGUGUCCAGAGUCUUAUCCCGUUUUCCCACUUCCUCUGAGGGGACAGCACGGAGGGGGGGCAUGAAGAAAGACCUGCACCAGCUUCAUCCACGAUGGGCGUAGAUGUUAUCACUGGCUCAGUGUCAUUUCAUUUGACCAAAUGUCUUUACAUAUCAAUUUAAUAGAUUUUAUUAUCCACCUUUUUGUUUUAUGUCCUUUUAUUUAAAACAUUCUUUAAGACUUCAUCUUCUAGUUAAAAUUUCAAUACAUUUAAUUUGUAUAAUCACUCUUUUGUCUUUAUUCUACAUGAAAAUGUUAGAGAUUCCAUUCAAAUCUGUUGAUUAUUCAUAUCUUCCUCAGGCUAGGAAUAGUAAGUCGAAUUUGUAAUGCUAAAUGUAGGCUAUAUCAUUUUCUCACAUGAUAUAGAAUGAGACAACACAGUUUUUAUCCAUUGUGUAUAAAUGCUUCAGCUCUUCAGACCAACAUAGUAAGAUGUGAGCAUGUUCCUAGGUCUGAUCUGUUUAAUAAAGCAAAUCUGCCACUUUUA